AGCCUGAACGCUGGCGGCGUGGUUAAGACAUGCAAGUCGCACGGUGUAGCAAUACACAGUGGCGAACGGGUGAGUAAUGAAUCGCUAAUGUACCCCGGACUCUGGGAUAGCUAUCCGAAAGGAUAGGUAAUACCAGAUGACAUAUCCCUUCCGCAUGGUUGGGAUCUCAAAGGUCCGCCGGUCUGGGAGCAGGCGAUUUUGUAUCAGCUAGUUGGUGAGGUAACGGCUCACCAAGGCGAUGACGCAUAGCCGGACUGAGAGGUUGGCCGGCCACAUUGGGACUGAGACACUGCCCAGACUCCUACGGGGGCUGCAGUAACGAAUCUUCCGCAAUGCACGAAAGUGUGACGGAGCGACGCCGCGUGUGGGACGAAGCCCUUCGGGGUGUAAACCACUGUCAGAGGAUAGAAAGUUCUGAUCAUCCUCAGAGGAAGGCACGGCUAACUCUGCGCCAGCAGCCGC
rnacentral:rRNA from 1 species